UUUUUUCCGCAGUGCCCGACCUUCCCAUUCUGGAGAAGAGAAACUGGCUGAUCCACCUGUACUACGUGCGCAAAGAUUACGACGCAUGUAAGAUUGCCAUAAAAGAGCAACUGCAGGAAACCCAAGGAAUGUGCGAAUACGCCGUCUACGUUCAAGCUUUGAUCUUUCGCUUGGAAGGAAAAAUCCACGAAUCUCUGGAGUUUUUCCAGACUUGUGCUAUUCUCAGGCCUCGAUCUGCCGACAACCUCAAGCAGGUGGCUCGCUCCCUGUAAGUGUAAUUUUGUUCUUCCUUAUCUAAGAGGUCAUACGGAGUGGGAUGGGACUCCUCAUGAAGGUGUCGGUGGCAUUGGCAUCCGUACGGGCACCAUCAUCUUCUUAGCAUGUAGGCCCAAAGCAGUGGUGAGAUUGUAAAUUUUUUUACAACCGGUUCUGUGGACGU